rnacentral:rRNA from 1 species
AACGAACGCUGGCGGCAGGCCUAACACAUGCAAGUCGAACGCCCCGCAAGGGGAGUGGUAGACGGGUGAGUAACAAGUGGGAACCUUCCCUAUACUACGGAAUAGCCCAGGGAAACCUGGAGUAAUACCGUAUACGCCCGAGAGGGGAAAGAAUGAUCGGUAGAGGAUGGGCCCGCGUAGGAAUAGCCAGUUGGUGAGGUAAUGGGUCAGCAAGGCGACGAUCCUUAGCUGGUCUGAGAGGACGACAAGCCACACUGGGACUGAGACACGGCACAGACACCUACGGGGUGCAGCAGUGGGAAAUAUUGGACGAUGGGCGCAAGCAUGAUCCAGCCAUGCCGCGUGAGUGAAGAAGGCCUUAGGGUUGUAAAGCUCUUUUGCCGGGGACGAUAAUGACGGGACCCGGAGAAUACGUCCCGGCUAACUUCGUGCCAGCCGCCGCGGUAA